AUUUGAAAAAAUAGGGAUUGUUUUUGGACAAGUUUUUCUUCGCAUUUGAUCAAAUAUUCGGUUGCUUGAGCUUCUGGGCUUAAAGUAGUCUGCUUUUUUUUUUCGCUCUCAAUGCUUCCGAAGUUAUAUAAUCAUCACAAACAUGCUCAUAUGAUCUGAAUUGAUGUGCAAUUCUAGAGAAGAAUUUUGAUUCCAAGUUGAAAAUUCAGAGGAAGUCUUCCAAUGGUGGGAAUGUGUAGAGAUUCAAGAACUUUGCUUUCAAGGCACUCCAAGAGAGUUUUGCUAUUUAGGAUUUUGAGUUGGACAAGAUCUAUGGCAUUGGUUCCUAUUCCAAGGAAAGUUUAAUGUUUAGGCACAAUUUUCCUAUUCUUCGAAUUAAGCAAAUGUGAGGUUAAUUGUGUCAAGCAUAUGUUGAGGUUGAUGAUGGUACAGGACAACUAGCUGCAGUAGCAUUUGGUGAAAUUGCUGAAAAAUUAUUGGGUUAUUCAGCAAUUCAUUUUAUGAAUCAUACUGGCAAGGAUCAUCUACCAUUUUUGGAAAGCAUGGCUAAAGAAAUUUCACAAAAAGAAUGGAUAAUUGACCUUGGUGUAGAUAUAGACCAAAUGAACCAACAAUGCCAUAAAAAAUUUAAUAUCUUAUCAAUUAAUCCUGCAAAAAAUACAAUAAAAUGAUGAUUAGCCAUUAAUAUGGCAUGAUCUUUUUAACUUCAGUUUGACCUUAAAGCAUGAAACAACCUACG